rnacentral:rRNA from 1 species
UGCUUAACACAUGCAAGUCGAACGAUGAAAGAGAAUCCGGUCUCUUCGGAGUGAAGAAUCUCUGGAUUAGUGGCGGACGGGUGAGUAACGCGUGAGCAAUCUGCCUUACACAAAGGGAUAGCCUCGGGAAACCGGGAUUAAUACCAUAUGAUAUCUAUUAACCGCAUGGUUUAUAGAUUAAAGAAUUUCGGUGUAAGAUGAGCUCGCGUCCCAUUAAUUAGUUGGUGAGGGUAACGGCCCACCAAGAUAGCGAUGGGUAGCCGAUCUAAGAGGAUGACCGGCCACAUUGGAACUGAGAAACGGUCCAAACUCCUACGGGAGGCAGCAGUGGGGAAUAUUGCACAAUGGGGGAAACCCUGAUGCAGCGACGCCGCGUGAGCGAUGAAGGCUUUCGAGUCGUAAAGCUCUGUCCUAUGGGAAGAUAAUGACGGUACCAUAGAAGAAAGCCCCGGCUAAUUACGUGCCAGCAGCCGCGGUAAUACGUAAGGGGCGAGCGUUGUCCGGAAUUAUUGGGCGUAAAGAGUGCGUAGGCGGCAAAUUAAGUCAGAUGUGAAAACUAAGGGCUCAACCCAUAGAUUGCAUCUGAAACUGAUAUGCUUGAGUCAAGGAGAGGAAAGUGGAAUUCCUAGUGUAGCGGUGGAAUGCGUAGAUAUUAGGAGGAAUACCGGUGGCGAAGGCGACUUUCUGGACUUGAACUGAC